rnacentral:rRNA from 1 species
ACGGGUUUUGGUGGGAACAGCGGAGGGAU